rnacentral:tRNA from 1 species
GGUUUAGAGUUUCAAAUUAUAAAAAAUUCUGGAAUAAUCCUGAGACGCGGGUUCGAAUCCCGCCUGAGCCA